rnacentral:rRNA from 1 species
GUUAUCGUAUAUUUGAUAGUACCUACUACAUGGAUAACCGUGGUAAUUCUAGAGCUAAUACAUGCUUAAAAUCCCGACUUCGGAAGGGAUGUAUUUAUUAGAUUAAAAACCAAUGCCCUUCGGGGCUCACUGGUGAUUCAUAAUAACUUCUCGAAUCGCAUGGCCUUGUGCCGGCGAUGGUUCAUUCAAAUUUCUGCCCUAUCAACUUUCGACGGCUGGGUAUUGGCCAGCCGUGGUUACAACGGGUAACGGAGGGUUAGGGCUUGACCCCGGAGAAGGAGCCUGAGAAACGGCUACUACAUCCAAGGAAGGCAGCAGGCGCGCAAAUUACCCAAUCCCGAUACGGGGAGGUAGUGACAAUAAAUACUGAUACAGGGCUCUUUUGGGUCUUGUAAUUGGAAUGAGUACAAUUUAAAUCCCUUAACGAGGAACAAUUGGAGGGCAAGUCUGGUGCCAGCAGCCGCGGUAAUUCCAGCUCCAAUAGCGUAUAUUAAAGUUGUUGCAGUUAAAAAGCUCGUAGUUGAAACUUGG